AAAUCUGCAGUGAGACACAAAAAUUAAAUAGUGAAUAUAUCAGUUGUUCAAUUAAAUCAAUUAUUAUGUCUUAUGAGUUUUAUGUCUUUUUUGUUUUCUUUGUUGAACAAUAGCUCGGAUCUAAAACCAAGUGUGCUGCCUACCUAGACAGCAUUUUAAGGCAUCAUAGGUGCACUUCCAAUGCACUAUACAUGCUUGAGUCAAAUAGGCUACUUUAUGCUAGGACGUCAAUGAAGUCAUGAAUGUUGUUGUUAUUGGGGCAGUAACACUGCAAGACUCCAGAGGGCGAUACAGGUGACUUAAAAUGUCUGUGCUGAGUAUGACAUCCACCUUAUUUUGGAACGCAGAGGUAAACCAGUUUGCAAUAUCAAGAAGCACAACGGACUGCUUGAUGUGUAUAAAUGACUCGCAUGUAAAUUUCUUUAUCCACAAAUGUAAAGAGGCAUUGAAUAAGACUUGGCUCAUUUUAAGACAGAAAUAGGUCACUACCUUCAUACAAUAACAGCAACGAGAAAUAAAAAAGCACAAAAAAUAGUGAAUUGUAAACUACUAAACUUUACUGUAAAGCCUUGAAUGUAGGAUACUUUGGUUGAUUUAUAAUGCACCGAAUGUAUGUUAAUUGCUUAUGAAUAUGCUGAUUUACCCUUUAUUAUUAUUGUUUGUCUUAGAAUUUAAUUUGAUACCACUGAUAUGCUAUAAUUGCCUUGAAUGUACAAUUAAUGUACAUUCAUUGUUCAGGAGACUGCAAUAUAAAAAUGUGAAAAAUCAAAUAAAGUUAUAAGUAUGAUUAGUUUCCAUAGUAUCAUUUAAGACAGCAGAUGAAGUAAUCAGAGACUGGGUAAGAGACAGACAACUGUAAGAAUAGAAAUUUGAAAUAUGUUGUCUUUAUAAACUUAAAGUAAGGCCUAUGUAAAGCUUUUAAUCGGUGAUUAUGUGAUACCUGUUACAGUGUUUUUGUAGAGUCCUGGUCGCUAGGAGCUUGGCAUAGGGGUUUUGCUGCCAUCAUCUGAUCCUGAAGAAAGGGAGAAACAGAUAUUAGCAUGUGUAAAGUUCUCCUUUGAACUCCCAUUCCCUGAAAAGAAUUUUGGGAGAAAAAUCUGAGACAACUAUGAUGUGAGGAGGCAAAUGAGUGAGUGACUUACCUAUGCCAUCUCCAACCCUGACUUCAUCAUCAUGGGCGUCAGUGUCGUCAUCAUCUAAACAGAAAGAAGCAUGGGAAAGAAUUGAGGCAGCUUUCAAUUCACAAUUUCCUAGAAUUCUUUGAGAAUUCAGCCCAAUCAGAGAGUAACAGUUCAUGUCUCAGGGACGGAGGUUUCUUGAUCUCUUUUUUGAGGCAGUGAUGGGCUUGCUCCGCUUGCGUGCUGAUGCAUUGUGGGAUUUGGUUGCACGCUGGACUGGGACCGGGGCGGGUUUCACAGCCGCUGCCGCCUCCUCUGAGUCUGGAGCUUCAUCUUCUGAACAGAGAGAAACAGGAAUCUCAGCCGGUCUGAUGCACAAAUCAAAUCCUUCCAUGUGCAAAGUUCAUAAGAAACCAUCUUUCAUCAGCUCCUCUCCUACUGUGUGAAGCAGUGAUCACUCACCGUUGGGCAGGUCAGGUGAGACCAGGUUCAUGCUUUCUGUCAAUGAAAACACAAAACACUGCAGUGAGAGUCCGUCCGGCUGACAUACUACAGACUGUGUCUCCACAACAGAGAAAGAGUGUGAAACUCACCAGUUGGAGCUUCAUCUGAGGUUGAAUCCGGAUCUGUGGAUUAUUGGAAGGAUUCUUAGUUGAAGG